GACUUCGUAGUGUAACGGUAACACACUCGGCGCGUAUUCCAAAGGUCCAGGUUCGAGUCCCGGCGAGGGCA
rnacentral:tRNA from 1 species